AGCGGAAGUCAAUAACGUUAAGGCAGGUUAAAGAAAUCACUAAAGGAAUACCUAUUCUACGAUGUAUAUCCCUGAAAAAAAUUUGUGACAAAAUUCGCUCAUACUUUGGGACAGAUGAAUCGGGAAGUGAGAAGUCACCAUCCUUGCCGGGUGAAAUGGAAUCUUGUCAAGAGCGUAUGGAGCGUGCUGGUCUAAUACAACCAAAUGUUAACAAUGAUAUUACAGAUUCAGUUUCACAAGACAAUGAUAUUAGCAAAGGAAGUGAAAUUACAAACAACCCAGAUGAAGAUCUUCCUAAAACUUGUGACAGCGAGUAUGCUCCAUCGGUGCAUAGUUCUAAACGGACAUUGACG